GAUGAACGCUGGCGGCGUGCCUAAUACAUGCAAGUCGAGCGAACGGACGAGAAGCUUGCUUCUCUGAUGUUAGCGGCGGACGGGUGAGUAACACGUGGAUAACCUACCUAUAAGACUGGGAUAACUUCGGGAAACCGGAGCUAAUACCGGAUAAUAUUUUGAACCGCAUGGUUCAAAAGUAAAAGAGGGUCUUGCUGUCACUUAUAGAUGGAUCCGCGCUGCAUUAGCUAGUUGGUAAGGUAACGGCUUACCAAGGCAACGAUGCAUAGCCGACCUGAGAGGGUGAUCGGCCACACUGGAACUGAGACACGGUCCAGACUCCUACGGGAGGCAGCAGUAGGGAAUCUUACGCAAUGGGCGAAAGCCUGACGGAGCAACGCCGCGUGAGUGAUGAAGGUCUUCGGAUCGUAAAACUCUGUUAUUAGGGAAGAACAUAUGUGUAAGUCACUGUGCACAUCUUGACGGUACCUAAUCAGAAAGCCACGGCUAACUACGUG
rnacentral:rRNA from 1 species